UAUGAAGGUGUUCUGUCAACUUGAAUAAACUU
rnacentral:piRNA from 1 species